AAAACCAAGCAGGUGCCUUCGAAUCGACGGCUCAUCUCCUCAGUGUGUAACAGAUGGCCUCACUCAUCGCCUCAGCUCCAUGGAAGUACGACGUCUUCUUGAGCAGCUCAAGCCAGGACGCAGGCAACUUUUCAUAUCUUCUACACAAGGCUUUGAAGGAUGAAGGAAUUCUCACUCUCAGAGACAGCCAAGAGGUUGAGGGAGCAGAAAGCACAGCUUCCCUGGAGGUCGGAAUCAGACUCGAAGGUCGCCCUAGUUAUUAUCUCGCCGGACUUCCUCCCCUCGGCUCUUGGAACAACUUGUGCAGAUUCUUGAAGCAAACAGGGAUUCAAGUAGUCUCAUCUUCCCAGGCUUUCACCUUGUCGACCCCUCAGAUGUCCGAAAACAAAAAGGAACUAUUGGAGCAAGCUUCGCCAAGCAUGAACAAGAACAAGACUCGGACAAGGUUAAACGUUGGAGGGCUUCUUUGACAUCCGUGGCAAGUUUAACUGGAUGGCAUACUGAAUCUCAUAAGGAUCAAACAGCGCUUACAAUGAUAUCGUGCAAUCUUUAAAACGAUGUAUCCUCAGGAAGGAAACGGAGAAUAUUAUUGAGCAAUCUGUAGACGAGGUCAGCACCAAUACCAGUGUUGAGGAGAAGAUUAUUGAGCAACCAGUAGACGAGGUCAGCAGGAAUACCAGUGUCAAGGACAAGAUCAUCACCGUUAACCAUGAGGAGCAAAAGGCCACAGUGGAUGCUACUUCAUCAGCAGAAUGGAACUUCUUACUCUUUACCCUCAUCCUCGUGAUUCUUUCUGCUGGUUUCGAUCAAGCUUCUUCGCCAAGCAAACCGCACUAUGCAUUAAUUGCAAUGCUGCUUGCUGCUGCAGCUGUAUUCACUUGCAUUUGGGAGCUGAUUCAAAGGAAAAGCCUAGUACUGAAGAGCUGGAAAAAACUACACUGUAUAUCUUAUCCACAUCUUUCGGACACUUUCUUCGAAAGUCACUUAGACACAUACGGAUUAGUCAGUAGCAUCUAUCAAUGCGUUUUCUCCACAGUUCAGUAUAUUUACUUCUUUUACAAUGCUAAUAGUCCUAUCAGAUUAUGCGCCUUACCUGCCCUCUAUCUCAUGUGUUUGGCUGGUUCAAGACUAUGGAAGAAGUACCAUAAGAGUAAACCACUACCUGUCUAGCUAGCUAGCUAGACUUCGGCAAAAGGUUUGCAAAGCUAAUAAGACCCUUGAAUGGGAUCGAUAAUUGUGAGUAAUUAAGAAAUUAUGAGAAAGUUUCUUCUUUCAAAA